AACGAACGCUGGCGGCAGGCUUAACACAUGCAAGUCGAACGCAUCGCAAGAUGAGUGGCAGACGGGUGAGUAACGCGUGGGAACGUACCCUUUUCUACGGAAUAGCUCUGGGAAACUGGAAUUAAUACCGUAUACGCCCUACGGGGGAAAGAUUUAUCGGGGAAGGAUUGGCCCGCGUUGGAUUAGCUAGUUGGUGGGGUAAAGGCCUACCAAGGCGACAAUCCAUAGCUGGUCUGAGAGGAUGAUCAGCCACAUUGGGACUGAGACACGGCCCAAACUCCUACGGGAGGCAGCAGUGGGGAAUAUUGGACAAUGGGCGCAAGCCUGAUCCAGCCAUGCCGCGUGAGUGAUGAAGGCCUUAGGGUUGUAAAGCUCUUUCACCGAUGAAGAUAAUGACGGUAGUCGGAGAAGAAGCCCCGGCUAACUUUGUGCCAGCAGCCGCAGUAA
rnacentral:rRNA from 1 species